rnacentral:rRNA from 1 species
UACGGGGGGUGCGAGCGUUGUCCGGAAUCACUGGGCGUAAAGGGCGCGUAGGUGGCCUGAUAAGGGUGUGGUGAAAGUCCGGGGCUCAACCCCGGAUCUGCCGUGCCGACUGUUGGGCUGGAGUACUGUAGGGGCAGGCGGAAUUCCGGGUGUAGCGGUGGAAUGCGUAGAGAUCCGGAGGAAGACCGGUGGCGAAGGCGGCCUGCUGGGCAGUUACUGACACUGAGGCGCGACAGCGUGGGGAUCAAACAGG